rnacentral:rRNA from 1 species
AGUGGCGGACGGGUGAGUAACACGUAAGAAUUUGCCUCUAGGAGGGGGACAACAGCUGGAAACGGCUGCUAAUACCCCAUACGCUUUCGAGUGAAAUGAAAUUUUUCGCCUAGAGAGAAGCUUGCGGCUGAUUAGCUUGUUGGUAAGGUAAUGGCUUACCAAGGCGACGAUCAGUAUCUGGUUUGAGAGGACGAUCAGACACACUGGAACUGAGACACGGUCCAGACUCCUACGGGAGGCAGCAGUGGGGAAUUUUCCGCAAUGGGCGAAAGCCUGACGGAGCAAUCUCGCGUGAGGGAUGACUGCCUAUGGGUUGUAAACCUCUUUUUUCAGGGAGGAAUCAAUGACGUGUACCUGAAGAAUAAGCAUCGGCUAACUCCGUGCCAGCAGCCGCGGUAAGACGGAGGAUGCAAGUGUUAUCCGGAAUCACUGGGCGUAAAGCGUCUGUAGGUGGUUUACUAAGUCAACUGUUAAAUCUUGAAGCUCAACUUCAAAAUCGCAGUCGAAACUAGUAGACUAGAGUAUAGUAGGGGUAAAGGGAAUUUCCAGUGGAGCGGUGAAAUGCGUAGAGAUUGGAAAGAACACCGAUGGCGAAGGCACUUUACUGGGCUAUUACUGACACUCAGAGACGAAAGCUAGGGUAGCAAAUGGGAUUAGAUACCCCAGUAGUCCUAGCCGUAAACAAUGGAUACUAGAUGUU